rnacentral:rRNA from 1 species
GCCGGUCUCAGUUCGGAUUGGGGUCUGCAACUCGACCUCAUGAAGUCGGAGUCGCUAGUAAUCGCAGAUCAGCAACGCUGCGGUGAAUACGUUCCCGGGGCUUGUACACACCGCCCGUCAAGUCAUGAAAGUUGGUAACACCCGAAGCCGGUGGCCUAACCGUUGUGGGGGAGCCGUCGAAGGUGGGACUGGUGAUUAGGACUAAGUCGUAACAAGGUAGCCGUACCGGAAGGUGCGGCUGGAUCACCUCCUU